rnacentral:rRNA from 1 species
UACAGGGGGGGGCAAGCGUUUGUUCGGAAUUACUGGGCGUAAAGGGCUCGUAGGUGGCCGACUAAGUCAGACGUGAAAUCCCUCAGCUUAACUGGGGAACUGCGUCUGAUACUGGAUGGCUUGAGUUUGGGAGAGGGAUGCGGAAUUCCAGGUGUAGCGGUGAAAUGCGUAGAUAUCUGGAGGAACACCGGUGGCGAAGGCGGCAUCCUGGACCAACACUGACACUGAGGAGCGAAAGCCAGGGGAGCAAACGGG